CUGGGACUUGAGAUUCCAGGUACCAGGAUGAUCUUCAGGUUCUCAUGACCUCACUGCUAAACGUAGAAAUACAUACAAACAUGGUAUAGACAAAAUUAACAUCACACCAACCAUAAGUACAAACUGAAUAAUAAUGAUCUACGCGAUGCUACGAGAUCGUAGAAACAAGAACCACUAAAUUCGGAGCUACGGUUAUUAAGUUAGGAAUUUCUGAAGUUAUUUAAUACCUAGAAUAGAGUUAUUCAUGUGAAUAAUUUUAAAUCAAGUUUCAUGGUUAGACAAAUGUACUAGGUAAUAAACAAUACUUAAACAAAAUUAAUCCCACUGGAAUGAAUCAAUUUGGAGCUAAAUUCAUCAAGUUAUGAAUUUUCUAAGCUUAUCAUAUUUAUUUUUAUCCUGAAAAUCAUUUUAGAUUUUUAUUUCCUGAAAUUCCCAGACUCUGGACGGCGACCACUAUUUUCGAAAACUCGGGGGCUAACACGUGAAAUCACCCAGACACAGAGAACUCCGCACAGGAUGGCGGGUUGAUUCCCCAUAACCCAAGGGGCUCUUAAGCAAAAAGCCAACGGCGAAGAGGUAAGGAACAACCAGAGCCGUUGGAUUAAAAGGAUACGGUCCAGAUUAGAUUUUUACAACUCUGAACCGGUACGCAGCCCUGGCCCUCGGAUUUGGAUCUAACGAUGUAAAUUUUAAGUACCAAGAUCUAAUCGUAGCCACUUGAUCCGAGAUCUACAGUUCUAAUUCCGCUGGGUGAAGGGGUACACUGGUCAGAUCGGGACCGUAAGCCAGCGAUCCUACGACUACAGACGUCGCACGGCCAAAUCCAAUCUAGGCCGCCCAAGACCCAUCAGACGGUCCGUACCCUUCUUCCCCCCUACGCCCUCCUAUUUCCUUUUCUCUCUCUCUCUCCAUGGCUGACCGGUGGCGCGUGAGCACGACCGUUGUAACGCCCCGAAUUUUUGCAGUUGAAUUUUUUUUCUUUUCUUUACUCGCCAAAAUUCGGGCGUUACCUUUUCUUUUUCUUUUCCCCCUCGCUAAACCUUGACCUUUUCCAAAGUUCUAGCGGGAUUCGGUUUGGAAUUCCCGUGUGAUGAAAAACCCUAAAUACUUUGUGUUGUUGAUGCACCAUGCCGAACCUUGCAUUUCUUUUGAUUGCUUUGAAAGUACAAAUGCAUUCAUGUAGAAAGAUCGGAUUUCGAAAAUGAGGAGAAGAUCUUUUCUUCCUUUUUUUCUCUCUCUUUCUCUCUCCUCUUUUUCUCUCUCUCCCGCGCCGUGGGCCGACCCCGGCCGGCCCAGCCGCCCCUGGCGCCCCCUCUUGGGCCCAAAAAGGCCCAACCGCCCCCCCACCUCCCUCUUUUUUUCCCAAACCCUCUCCCUCUCCCUCUCAUUUUUUUCCCUCUCUCAUUCUCUCCCUAGCCGCCGCCCCUACCCGCCCCCUGCCCUAGCGCCGCCCCCUGCCCUAAGCCGCCGCCGCCGCCCCUCGCCGUCGCUCCCCAACGCCGGUGAGCCCCCCCCUCCUCCCUCUCUCCCUCCUCCCUCCCUCUCCCCUCCCCCUCCUCUCUCCUCGGCCACCGCCCCAGUCGCGCCCCCUGGCCGCGCGCCGCCCGGCCGCCUGGCUCGGCCGCCCGCUUGUCUGCCUGGCCGCGUGCCCGCCUGGCCCCGGCCGCGCUUGGCCCCUGGCCGCGCCCUGGCCUUUGGCCGCGCGCGCCCUGGCCGCGCCCCCUGGCCGCUCGGCCGGCUCAGCCGCCCCGGCUCGGCCGCCCCUGCGCGCCCUGCCCCCGGCCGGUUCAACCGCCCCUAGGGCCGGUUCAACCGCCCCCCCCCCCCCUCUGUUUUUUUUUAUUUUUUUAUUUAAUUUUAUUUACUUUCUGUGAUCAUAGUUAUUUUAUUUUAGGUAGGGUAAUCAUUGUUAAUGUUAUUGAAAUAGGAAGUUUAAUUUAAAAUUCCGUUAUGCUAGUUGAUUCAUGUAGUUAAUUGUUUAUCUCGUGCAAUGUUGAUCAACUUAAAAUGAAUAGGUUUCCACUAGUGCAUAUAACAAGAAUUCUUUUGUUAGGAACCCAUUGAAACUAGAGUGCAUAAUUUAACUAAUCAUUAGUGCAUAAACUUUAACCCCCUGCGAGGCCCUUUCCCGUUUCUUUCUAACCGUAACAAAUGCGAUAUCGAAUGUCAUACUUGAUGCAUAUUCGCUUUGUUUGUUCCCUUGUAUGGUGUACUGUUCUUUUGUAUUAAAUGUGGAUGGAUGUAUGUAUGUUUGCAAUCGCAUAGAGAACGAUCCGGUCGAAGAGCCCGAGGAAUUCGCAGGAGAAGCCCCUGAGCAGCAGUCGGUUGGUGGAGGCAAGUGUCCUUUGACCUAUCUCUGUCCUAUUCAUUAUUUAAUUCACCUCCCGCUUACACAUUUAUGCCUAAGGAUUGACUAGCUUUUGUUAUCCAUGUCCUUGUUUACCUAUCUGGGUUGGAUUAUUACUGUUUAGCUUUAUGCUAUUGCUCAACCUCUAAUCAAUGAACAUGAUGAGAUUAUCUAUGAUACGCUGUUUUCCCUUCUUUUAUUAUGAUGUUGUACUUGUGGUCUUCAAGGGGGCUCGAGCGGUUUCUCGAGUGCCUCUCCGUAAGGACCUGUUCUAUGGAUGACCGCCCGGGAAAACAGUGCAACCAUGAGGGUGGAAUGGGGUGCCCUUAGCUGAAUAAUUAGAGGAUCCGGGGUGUAGUUCACUUAGCCGUCGUGCCGUCAAUGGGGCUCGGUGUAUGCGGCUCGCUCUGCCAAGUUUGGGUUCGCCCCUUGGGGAGGAGUGCGGUGCAUUUAGGAAACCUAACGGGUGGCUACAGCCCCGGGGAAUCUUUGUAAAGGCUUCGUAGUGAAUCCCUGGCUAUUCACCUCGGGAGUGAAUAAGGGUCUUGCAAGCCCGGGCCAGAGAGGGAAUCACGGCUUGUGGGUAAAGUGCACAACCUCUGCAGAGUGUUUGAAAAACUGAUAUAUCAGCCGUGCUCACGGUUAUGAGCGGCCAAGGGAGCUCCAGUGAUUAGUGGUACUUGAUCAGAGAUGUUCGGAUUACAGGUGGUGAUGAGAAUGAUGGUUUUGAUUAUGAUUAUGAUGCUGGUAAGUGGUACUCUUUCCGUUUGGAAAGGAGUACGUUUGGGUUAAUAACUUGGGUUAAUGCUAAAACUUGGCUUUCUACUAGUAAGUAAUAAUCUGACCAACUAAAAGCAACUGCUUGACUUAUCCCCACAUACAGCUAGUCCACUACAGCCAAACAGGAUACUUGCUGAGUAUGUUGAUGUGUACUCACCCUUGCUCUACACACCAACCCCCCCCCAUCCCCAGGUUGUCAGCAUUGCAACCACUGCUCAGGCGAAGAUGAAGCUGUGGAAGGAGACUUCCAGGAGUUCCAAGAUUACGACGAGUUCUAGGUGUGGGUUAGCGGCAACCCCCAGUCGGCUGCCUGUGAAGGCCGCGUUUAUCUACGUUUCUUUUCCGCACUUUGAUUUAUUGUAAGGACUAUAUGGACGUCUCAGACGUAUGAUGUAAUCAACUAUUUCCCUUUUUAAUACUAUUUUGAGCACUGUGUGAUGAUGUCCAUAUUAUGUAACUGCUGUGUACGUGAAUAACUGAUCCUGGCACGUACAUGGUUCGCAUUCGGUUUGCCUUCUAAAACCGGGUGUGACAUAAGUGGUAUCAAAGCCGUGCUGACUGUAGGACCGCUAACCUAGAGUAGAAUGGUCGUUCUAAGGACUAUAGACCUCUGUCUCUGCCUUGACUUUGAUAUCCCUUCAAAAGUUGGUCAUACCGACCAAACCUAUGUUCUACUAUAUACUAUACCUUGCUGAAAAUCAUGUUUUAUUCUAAUCCUUCAUUUACUUAUGAUUCAUUAUUUGCUGGUCAUAUUAAUUCUGUUCUCACCCUUUUGCUUGCGAUGUCUUUUGUAGAUGGCUCGACUUAGACACACUGCACGAAAGUCAGUCAUCCCCUUCUUACCCUCCCGCCUUGCUGAGCGUCCGCUUCGCCGUCCCGUGGCCGGACAGUCCAGCCACUUGGAGAGACUACACCACCGCCUGCGUGAGGAGCAGGAACGUCGACGACAGGAGCAGCAGAGCUCUUCCUUCUCGCUCCACCAGGAGAUAGAGUCUGUGAGGAGCUGCUCCCCUGUGCUUCCUCUGGAGCCGCCCCCUGCACCACCACUGGGCGCCCCAGCUUCUGGAGUAGCUGCUGGAGGAGACCCAGACGACGGAGGUGGCGACGACAGCUCGAGCCACGACACCGACUUCUCUGCUAACCCUGAGCCGGAAGGAUGGGUUGCUCGACCCAUCACUCGCGACGCUGCUCGCGGGUGUCACUUCCAUGAUGCGCUCGACACCCUGCUACGUCGGGCAUUUGACCGGCAUACUUGGUCCGUCGAGUAUCGCUGUGUGGUCUACCAGCAUAGUCGCGGGGUCUACCCGGACCGCUGGGAGGCAACCUGCUUGGUGCGCUGCCCGGAGAACAGUCUCCAGGGUGCGGAGGCCUGUUCAGAGCACUAUUCUAUCUCUGAACGGGACUCAGCUGAGGCAGCCAUGCAAGAUGCUGCACGGCGUGCGCUUUCGCACUACUGCUCGGUUUUCGGUGGGGCAGCUGACGGUCUUGACCUGAAGUAUUACCCCCGCCGUCCAUCUGGCAGCACAGGAGGCGUGAUUGUCUCACCUGUCGGUGAGGGCAAUCCUAGGUUGAGCAGCACAGUCAACCUAGCCGCCGUGCUAAACACGGAGCUGGACCAUGCAUUAGAUGAGCUGAGUAGGGCUCGUGCUGAGAUCGCCCUGCGGCGGGCUGAGCGCGCGGAACGUCGUCAUCUGGAUGGUGGUUCCCCCGCUCCCGUCGGGACUCAGCACCCGUACCGCUCACCUCAGCGUGGAGACCAGUCUUAUGGCAAUCCCGACUGCAAGACCAAGAUAACUCUAGAACCAUAGCUCGUUAGAGUUGGAUCUUGUAAUUAAUACGAAAUAUAUAUACAUAGAAGCUUCAGUCUUAGCGUUAGUCUCAGUCUUAGUUAGUCUUAGUUAGACAGGGUAGUUUGCUAUAUCCUGUGCAUCUAUGUUUGUCAUGAUGAACUAUGUUUGAUUUGGAUCUUUGUAAUGACUGUCACCAGAGUGUGGGUAUCCCCUGCAUUUUGGUUUACCUAUUAUGUUAAUGGAGUUAGUUAUAUAGUUGGGAAACCCCCUUUUAUUCCACUUUCCUCUUUAUCUGAGAAGCUGUGUGGUCUGUGUUGGAGAUCAGUGAAGAUGCUCAUCUGUUCAGUGCUGUUGAAGAAUUCUAUUCUCUUUUCUUAUGCUGCAAGAUUUGCCAGAUCAGUUCUGAUGUGUGGUUGCAUUCUGCAGAUGUCAGAGAACAGGCGCAGAGGAGGAAGGCGUGCUCAGCAGGAGCGAGCCGCUCAACAGGAGGAGGUGCCCCAGCAGCAGCACCUGCCGCCCCCGCCCCCGAUGUCCAUCGAGCAGAUGUUUCUGAUGCAGACUCAGGCAGUUCAAGCCAUCGGUCAGACUUUGGCCGCCAUUCAGCAGCAGCAGCAGCAGGCUCCACCUCAGCCUCAGAUGCCUCAGAUGCCCAGAGACAAGCGUGCUGAAUUCAUGAGAGGUCAUCCACCAACGUUCGCUCACUCUUCUGACCCCAUGGAUGCUGAAGAUUGGCUGCGCACUGUGGAGCGGGAGUUGCAUACCGCUCAGUGCGAUGACAGGGAGAAAGUCCUGUAUGGUCCCCGUCUGUUGAGAGGAGCAGCCCAAUCAUGGUGGGAGUCUUACCUCGCCACCCAUGCCCAUCCUGACGCCAUCACCUGGGAAGAGUUCAGAGGUAGCUUUCGUCAGUACCAUGUUCCUGCAGGUCUGAUGACAGUGAACAAGGAGGAGUUCCUGGCUCUCAAGCAAGGGCCAUUGUCUGUCAGUGAGUACCGGGACAGGUUUCUGCAAUUGUCUCGCUAUGCACCUGAAGAUGUCAACACUGACGCCAAGCGACAGUACCGUUUCCUGAGAGGCUUGGUCGACCCUCUGCAGUAUCAACUGAUGAAUCACACCUUCCCGACAUUCCAGCACCUGAUUGACAGAGCAAUCAUGACAGAGAGAAAGCGUAAGGAGAUGGAAGAUCGUAAGCGCAAGAUCAGUGGACCCCAGCCUGGAAGCAGCAAUCGUCCUCGUUUCUCAGGCAAUCAACCUCAGCAGUUCAGGCAGAACCAGCGUGCACCUCAGCAGCAUCAGCAGUUCCAAAGGCAGUACCCUCAGAACCAGUAUCAGAACCGUCAGAGCAAUCAGUCAGGAGGUCAGUUUCCGAGGCAGAAUCAGCAGGCACCUCGCCUUCCUGCCCCAGCAAACCAGCAGAACAGUCAGGCAGCACCAGCUCAGGUUGGAAACAGAGCAUGUUUCCACUGUGGAGAGCAAGGCCACUGGGUGAUGCAAUGUCCGAAGAAGGCAGCCCAGCAGCAGUCAGGCCCCAAUGCCCCAGCAAAGCAGAAUGUGCCUCAGCCUGGAGCAGACAAUCGCUCUCAGCCGCGCUACAAUCAUGGAAGACUGAACCACUUGGAGGCUGAAGCAGUUCAGGAGACCCCCGGCAUGAUAGUAGGUAUGUUCCCAGUCGACUCCCAUAUUGCAGAAGUGUUAUUUGAUACUGGAGCAACGCAUUCUUUCAUUGCUGCAUCAUGGGUAGAAGCACAUAAUCUUCCAAUUACUACCAUGUCAACCCCCAUUCAAAUUGACUCAGCCGGUGGUAGAAUUCGAGCCGAUAGCAUUUGUUUGAAUAUAAGUGUGGAAAUAAGGGGGAUAGCGUUUCCCGCCAACCUUAUAGUAAUGGGUACUCAGGGAAUAGAUGUCAUCCUAGGGAUGAAUUGGCUAGAUAAGUAUCAGGCAGUUAUCAGUUGUGAUAAGAGGACAAUCAAGUUGGUGUCCCCACUAGGAGAGGAAGUGGUGACUGAGUUAGUCCCACCUGAGCCGAAGAAAGGAAGUUGUUAUCAGAUGGCUGUCGAUAGCAGUGAAGCAGACCCAAUUGAAAGUAUCAAGGUUGUGUCCGAGUUCCCAGAUGUGUUUCCAAAGGAUUUACCGGGUAUGCCACCAGAGCGGAAAGUUGAGUUUGCUAUAGAGCUUCUUCCUGGAACCGCCCCUAUCUUUAAGAGAGCUUACAGAAUAUCUGGACCAGAGUUGGAUGAACUUAAGAAGCAGAUUGAUGAGCUGUCAGAGAAAGGUUACAUCCGGCCAAGCACCUCGCCUUGGGCCGCCCCUGUCCUAUUUGUGGAGAAGAAAGAUGGCACCAAGAGGAUGUGCAUCGAUUAUCGAGCUUUGAAUGAGGUCACGAUCAAGAACAAGUAUCCCUUGCCCAGAAUAGAAGAUCUGUUCGACCAGUUGAGAGGAGCCAGUGUGUUCUCCAAGAUUGAUCUGAGGUCAGGUUAUCAUCAGCUCAUAAUCCGACCUUCGGACAUUCCGAAGACGGCAUUCAUUUCCAAGUAUGGUUUGUAUGAGUUCACAGUGAUGUCUUUUGGUUUGACCAAUGCGCCAGCAUUCUUCAUGAACUUGAUGAACAGUGUAUUCAUGGAUUAUCUUGAUAAGUUUGUGGUGGUAUUCAUUGAUGAUAUUCUAGUUUAUUCUCAAAGUGAAGAAGAGCACGCAGAUCAUUUGAGGAUGGUGUUGCAGAGAUUGCGAGAGCACCAGUUGUAUGCAAAGUUGAGUAAGUGUGAGUUCUGGAUCAGUGAAGUCCUGUUUUUGGGUCACAUAAUCAACAAGGAAGGAUUGGCUGUGGAUCCGAAGAAAGUGGCAGACAUUCUGAACUGGAAAGCGCCAACAGAUGCUAGAGGAAUCAAGAGUUUCAUUGGAAUGGCCGGAUAUUAUCGGCGAUUCAUUGAAGGAUUUUCAAAGAUUGCGAAACCAAUGACGGCGUUGCUAGGCAACAAAGUUGAGUUCAAGUGGACCCAGAAAUGUCAAGAGGCCUUUCAAGCGCUGAAAGAGAAGUUGACUACAGCGCCUGUCCUAGUCUUGCCUGAUGUGCACAAGCCCUUCUCGGUGUAUUGCGAUGCUUGCUACACAGGUUUGGGAUGUGUGUUGAUGCAAGAGGGAAGAGUUGUGGCUUACUCGUCCCGACAGCUGAAGGUUCAUGAGAAGAAUUACCCAAUCCAUGAUCUAGAGUUGGCAGCAGUGGUUCACGCACUGAAGACCUGGAGGCACUAUCUGUAUGGACAGAAAUGCGAUGUUUACACAGACCACAAGAGUCUUAAGUACAUAUUCACUCAGUCAGAGUUGAACAUGAGGCAGCGAAGAUGGUUAGAGUUGAUCAAAGACUAUGAGUUGGAGAUUCAUUACCAUCCAGGCAAAGCAAACGUAGUGGCAGAUGCUUUGAGCAGAAAGAGUCAAGUCAAUCUGAUGGUCGCUCGUCCGAUGCCCUAUGAGUUGGCCAAAGAGUUUGACAGGUUGAGUCUCGGAUUUCUGAACAAUUCGCGAGGAGUCACAGUUGAGUUGGAACCUACCUUGGAGCGCGAAAUCAAAGAAGCGCAGAAGAAUGAUGAGAAAAUCAGUGAGAUCCGGCGACUGAUUCUGGAAGGCAAAGGCAAAGAUUUUCGAGAAGAUGCAGAAGGCGUGAUAUGGUUCAAAGAUCGCUUGUGUGUUCCCAAUGUCCAGUCCAUUCGGGAGCUGAUUCUUAAAAGAAGCUCAUGAGACAGCUUAUUCGAUUCACCCUGGCAGUGAGAAGAUGUAUCAGGAUCUGAAGAAGAAAUUCUGGUGGUACGGAAUGAAGAGGGAAAUCGCAGAGCAUGUGGCUAUGUGCGAUAGUUGCCGAAGAAUUAAGGCAGAACACCAGAGACCUGCUGGAUUGUUGCAACCGUUGCAGAUCCCUCAGUGGAAAUGGGAUGAAAUUGGUAUGGAUUUCAUAGUCGGAUUGCCUCGCACUCGAGCCGGCUACGAUUCCAUCUGGGUAGUAGUGGACCGUUUGACCAAGUCAGCCCACUUCAUACCUGUCAAGACCAACUACAACAGUGCAGUAUUGGCAGAAUUGUACAUGUCUCGGAUCGUUUGUCUUCAUGGUGUGCCAAAGAAGAUAGUGUCAGAUAGAGGAACGCAGUUCACCUCUCAUUUCUGGCAGCAGUUACAUGAAGCCUUGGGCACACAUCUGAAUUUCAGUUCAGCUUAUCACCCGCAGACAGAUGGCCAGACCGAAAGGACCAAUCAAAUUCUCGAAGAUAUGUUGAGAGCCUGUGCGUUGCAAGAUCAGUCCGGAUGGGACAAGCGAUUGCCUUAUGCAGAGUUUUCCUAUAACAACAGUUACCAGGCCAGUUUAAAGAUGUCACCGUUUCAAGCGCUUUAUGGAAGGAGUUGUAGAACUCCGUUGCAAUGGGAUCAGCCUGGAGAAAAGCAAGUGUUUGGGCCAGACAUUUUGCUUGAAGCCGAAGAGAACAUCAAGAUGGUCCGAGAGAAUCUGAAGAUAGCGCAAUCGAGGCAGCGAAGCUAUGCAGACACAAGAAGAAGAGAGCUGAGUUUCGAAGUCGGAGACUUUGUCUAUCUGAAAGUGUCACCGAUCAGAGGAGUCAGAAGAUUCGGAGUGAAAGGCAAGCUAGCGCCCCGCUACAUUGGUCCGUAUCAGAUUCUUGCAAGACGAGGAGAAGUGGCCUAUCAGCUCAGUUUGCCCGAGAAUUUGUCUGCUGUGCAUAAUGUCUUUCAUGUGUCUCAGUUGAAGAAGUGCUUGCGUGUGCCAGAAGAGCAGUUGCCAGUGGAAGGUCUGGAAGUCCAGGAGGACUUGACCUACGUUGAGAAGCCAGUGCAAAUCCUUGAGAUUGCAGACAGAGUCACCCGAAGGAAGACCAUCAGAAUGUGCAAAGUCAGAUGGAAUCACCACUCUGAGGAAGAAGCAACCUGGGAGCGUGAAGAUGAUUUGAUGGCCAAGUACCCAGAGCUCUUUGCUAGCCAGCCCUGAAUCUCGAGGGCGAGAUUCUUUUAAGGGGGAUAGGUUUGUAACGCCCCGAAUUUUUGCAGUUGAAUUUUUUUUCUUUUCUUUACUCGCCAAAAUUCGGGCGUUACCUUUUCUUUUUCUUUUCCCCCUCGCUAAACCUUGACCUUUUCCAAAGUUCUAGCGGGAUUCGGUUUGGAAUUCCCGUGUGAUGAAAAACCCUAAAUACUUUGUGUUGUUGAUGCACCAUGCCGAACCUUGCAUUUCUUUUGAUUGCUUUGAAAGUACAAAUGCAUUCAUGUAGAAAGAUCGGAUUUCGAAAAUGAGGAGAAGAUAUUUUCUUCCUUUUUUUUCUCUCUCUUUCUCUCUCCUCUUUUUCUCUCUCUCCCGCGCCGUGGGCCGACCCCGGCCGGCCCAGCCGCCCCUGGCGCCCCCUCUUGGGCCCAAAAAGGCCCAACCGCCCCCCCCACCUCCCUCUUUUUUUCCCAAACCCUCUCCCUCUCCCUCUCAUUUUUUUCCCUCUCUCAUUCUCUCCCUAGCCGCCGCCCCUACCCGCCCCCUGCCCUAGCGCCGCCCCCUGCCCUAAGCCGCCGCCGCCCCUGCCGGCCGCCCCUCGCCGUCGCUCCCCAACGCCGGUGAGCCCCCCCCUCCUCCCUCUCUCCCUCCUCCCUCCCUCUCCCCUCCCCCUCCUCUCUCCUCGGCCACCGCCCCAGCCGCGCCCCCUGGCCGCGCGCCGCCCGGCCGCCUGGCUCGGCCGCCCGCUUGGCCGCCUGGCCGCGUGCCCGCCUGGCCGCGUGCCCGCCUGGCCCCGGCCGCGCUUGGCCCCUGGCCGCGCCCCCUGGCCGCUCGGCCGGCUCAGCCGCCCCGGCUCGGCCGCCCCUGCGCGCCCUGCCCCCGGCCGGUUCAACCGCCCCUAGGGCCGGUUCAACCGCCCCCCCUCUGUUUUUUUUAUUUUUUUUAUUUUAUUUUAUUUACUUUCUGUGAUCAUAGUUAUUUUAUUUUAGGUAGGCUAAUCAUUGUUAAUGUUAUUGAAAUAGGAAGUUUAAUUUAAAAUUCCGUUAUGCUAGUUGAUUCAUGUAGUUAAUUGUUUAUCUCGUGCAAUGUUGAUCAACUUAAAAUGAAUAGGUUUCCACUAGUGCAUAUAACAAGAAUUCUUUUGUUAGGAACCCAUUGAAACUAGAGUGCAUAAUUUAACUAAUCAUUAGUGCAUAAACUUUAACCCCCUGCGAGGCCCUUUCCCGUUUCUUUCUAACCGUAACAAAUGCGAUAUCGAAUGUCAUACUUGAUGCAUAUUCGCUUUGUUUGUUCCCUUGUAUGGUGUACUGUUCUUUUGUAUUAAAUGUGGAUGGAUGUAUGUAUGUUUGCAAUCGCAUAGAGAACGAUCCGGUCGAAGAGCCCGAGGAAUUCGCAGGAGAAGCCCCUGAGCAGCAGUCGGUUGGUGGAGGCAAGUGUCCUUUGACCUAUCUCUGUCCUAUUCAUUAUUUAAUUCACCUCCCGCUUACACAUUUAUGCCUAAGGAUUGACUAGCUUUUGUUAUCCAUGUCCUUGUUUACCUAUCUGGGUUGGAUUAUUACUGUUUAGCUUUAUGCUAUUGCUCAACCUCUAAUCAAUGAACAUGAUGAGAUUAUCUAUGAUACGCUGUUUUCCCUUCUUUUAUUAUGAUGUUGUACUUGUGGUCUUCAAGGGGGCUCGAGCGGUUUCUCGAGUGCCUCUCCGUAAGGACCUGUUCUAUGGAUGACCGCCCGGGAAAACAGUGCAACCAUGAGGGUGGAAUGGGGUGCCCUUAGCUGAAUAAUUAGAGGAUCCGGGGUGUAGUUCACUUAGCCGUUGUGCCGUCAAUGGGGCUCGGUGUAUGCGGCUCGCUCUGCCAAGUUUGGGUUCGCCCCUUGGGGAGGAGUGCGGUGCAUUUAGGAAACCUAACGGGUGGCUACAGCCCCGGGGAAUCUUUGUAAAGGCUUCGUAGUGAAUCCCUGGCUAUUCACCUCGGGAGUGAAUAAGGGUCUUGCAAGCCCGGGCCAGAGAGGGAAUCACGGCUUGUGGGUAAAGUGCACAACCUCUGCAGAGUGUUUGAAAAACUGAUAUAUCAGCCGUGCUCACGGUUAUGAGCGGCCAAGGGAGCUCCAGUGAUUAGUGGUACUUGAUCAGAGAUGUUCGGAUUACAGGUGGUGAUGAGAAUGAUGGUUUUGAUUAUGAUUAUGAUGCUGGUAAGUGGUACUCUUUCCGUUUGGAAAGGAGUACGUUUGGGUUAAUAACUUGGGUUAAUGCUAAAACUUGGCUUUCUACUAGUAAGUAAUAAUCUGACCAACUAAAAGCAACUGCUUGACUUAUCCCCACAUACAGCUAGUCCACUACAGCCAAACAGGAUACUUGCUGAGUAUGUUGAUGUGUACUCACCCUUACUCUACACACCAACCCCCUCCAUCCCCAGGUUGUCAGCAUUGCAACCACUGCUCAGGCGAAGAUGAAGCUGUGGAAGGAGACUUCCAGGAGUUCCAAGAUUACGACGAGUUCUAGGUGUGGGUUAGCGGCAACCCCCAGUCGGCUGCCUGUGAAGGCCGCGUUUAUCUACGUUUCUUUUCCGCACUUUGAUUUAUUGUAAGGACUAUAUGGACGUCUCAGACGUAUGAUGUAAUCAACUAUUUCCCUUUUUAAUACUAUUUUGAGCACUGUGUGAUGAUGUCCAUAUUAUGUAACUGCUGUGUACGUGAAUAACUGAUCCUGGCACGUACAUGGUUCGCAUUCGGUUUGCCUUCUAAAACCGGGUGUGACAACCGUGGCGGAGGCCAUGGCCAGCGGCUCCCAACAUGGCCCCAAGGCUCCCCCCGAGGGCAUAUAAGCCCUAAACCUAUGCUCCCGCACACCUGCUUCAUAUCCGCCCCUGCGCGAUGCAGUCUGCUGUCCAAGUACCCGGCCGCGGCGAGUGAGAGCUUCGCGGCACGCUAUAACUUCGGUGAGCGAUUCCUAACGAACCGCACACCCAACCUGAGCUAAAUUUGGCGGCUCAUGAUCAGAGGAAUAAGGCAAGCGCGAUAGAGGAAUCCUUACCGUAUUUUGAGGUGGCGGCUCCGCGGCUACAGAGCAGCACCGGUGAGAAAUUCCCAUUCGCCCAUGGCGCCCUGAGCUCUGAUUCUACUUCGAUUACCAUCCCCACAUGCUGACGAAUCGAUCAAGACACAUCCGAGGACCCCGGGCGACCCCCAGCUGUGAGGCAUCGGUGGCGGCCAUCUCCUGCUUCUCUCUGCGCUCCCUGAUCUCCCUCUCCGAUCUUUCCUCUCUCCCGUGGCGGUGGAUGCCCGUUUUGGUGACAAGAGCUAGCACCGACGGGUGAGGAAAGAGGGCGCAUGGCACUGCUACUUAUAGGGCCAAAGCACGGAAUCCCGGCUAGAGAAGUACGGCGAAUUUGGCGGGUUGUUACGAUCCAUACGCGAGCAGAACUCGGGUCAUCCGGUUGAGGGAGGUGAACCUGACAAAACGGGCCCGCAUGCCGGUGACUGAGGAGUUCGCGCGGGAGGAAGACUGGUUGACCGCGUGGGGUCCACAUGUCAGCGCGCAGAAUUGGGUGGACUGGCGUGUGCGGUUUGUGGAAGAAGUGGGCUGACUGGGGAAUUCGGCCCAGAAUCAGGUUCGUUUCAUCCUUUUCUUUUUUAUUUCUAUUUCCCUUUCUUAUUUCAAAUCCAAAUCAAACCAUGUUUAAAUUCUAAAUUCUAAAUUUCAAAUUUAUGCACAAGAAAAACUCCACAUGAUGCACAAUUUCCACAUAGUAUUUAUUUAUUUAGUUAUUUUAUUUAUUUUUAUUAUUUUAUUUAGGUUAGGUUUUCAACAUGAAGUACACGCACCACAUUAUUUCAAUAUAUUAUUAUUUUGAGUGUGUAGUCAAAUUAAAGGUAUAUUCAAAAGUUCUACCUUUGUUUUGAUAGGAACAUUUUCCAAUGUCUUAUCUUUUUUUAGGAUUUAAUUUAACUAUCGUUAUUUUAUUAUGACCAUUUACCUUAAAAGGGUGAAUUCUAGGGUUUCAAUUAUCUAUCAAGGGUACUUUGUUCUGAUUUCUUCUACUAUCCCAAAUUGAGAAUUUUGGGUUUUACAAAUCCUACCCCCCUUAACAGAAAUCUCGUCCUCGAGAUUUGUAAGAAAAAGAUGCAAUAAGUUUGGUUUUAGUCUCCCUUAUGGUUUAUGUUUAGGAACCAAAAGUUUUGUCCAAGCUCUUAAAUACUAGUUAGAAGAUGAUUUGGAAAAUAUAGUAAGUCUAGCCAUCUAUUAUGUCAGAUGAGGCACGGUUAUGGCAAGUAUAGUUGGUGGCAAGGAAAGACUUCAUCCUGAAUUGUGGAUCGUGAUUCCUCUUGAAGUUGGAUUUGACUCAUCUCCUUCCUUGUGAGGUUGAGCUCUUCUUUUCAGACCUUGGUGUCUUCAUCCAAGUUAGGGACUAGAGGUUUAGUAGGUAGCUAUAAGUUAAACAAGAUUAGUUAGAAUUUAGUUCGGAUGUUUGCUUCUAGAUUGGUUGGCUAAGUUAUGCAACCCGUUAUGUAGGUCAAGUUAUUGUGUAUGGCCAAGUUGAUCUAAGUCACCAAUUUAGGCUUAAGUGAAUUAGGAGUAUGGCCUUAUCUUUUGUACUAGCAUUAAGUAACUUACUCUAGAUUAGAUUAUAAUAGAUUAGAUAAAAUCUAGAUUAGGUUGGAUAUGACUAGAUUAGACUAGUUAAGAUCUCAUUAUUUUGGAUUAGGUCCCGGUUGUUUCGUUAGGAUGAGUUAAGUAAAGUGAUUAGGGUAAGACAAAUCUUUCAAGAUAAGAUGCAUCUAUUAAGAUAAGAGAGAAUCUUUUAAGAUAAGAUGGAUUUAUUUGAUAUAUUCUAGUGGGGGUACUCUUAGUUGGUCUAAUAUAUCUAGUUUAAUAGAUCCAUUUUAAUAGGGAUUAUUCUGUGUGGUCUAUUUUGUAAAUAUUUUCCCUUAUGUCUAGAUGUAUAUGCAGAUGUAAUUGUGGACAUUACUCCACAACUCAUCACACUCAAUCAAAGAUCCAAAUAAGACAUGUAUCAUAAGAACAAAAUAUUCAAAUUCAUAGAUAUCUAUAAAAAUAGUUUUAUUUUUGUUCCUAAGAGUAGGUCUCCUAUUCCUAAAAGUCACUUUAAGCACAGGAUUUCAAAGUGUGAAAUCCAAGUUUGUCUCUAGAAGUGAAAAGGUAAGAAUAAUCAGAGUGAAGCGGAAUUAGAUGAGAAAAGAUUAAGAUAAGUUUAGAAAAAGAAUCAGAGUAGCAAAGGUAAGUAGACAAUGGUUGUCCAGUUCUAUCUAGGUUUCGUCCUACAGUCAACAUUCCUCUGAUACCACUUCUGUCACACCCGGAUUUCGGGGCACCAAGACCCGGGCGCGAACAUAAUCACCAGGUGUGCUGGGACCAAGUCUCACACAUAUGAUGAAUCAUGGCACAGGAUCGAAUGUCACAUCUUUACUAUAUAAUAUGAGUUCUGUACAAAAUAAAUAAUUACAUUAUAAGAAGACAACGGUCCAGCAACCCAAAGUUGACUGGGAGACGACGGCCUAGACCUCUCACGAACUCGUCACAGCAUCCUCCAAGCGCCUCAUCUUACGGUACAUGUUCUUGACCUGUGGGGGGGUGUGAGACAGCAAGAGUGAGCUCACAUACAUUCAUCGCUCAACAAGUUGUGCGGAAUAAUGUGCAUGAACUCGCCAAAGGUGGGAGCUCACGUGAAGUGUAAGGCUUACCAAAGAGGAUGGUUAGAGCUGAGCAUUGCUUUUAAAGUUGGUCAAAAUUUUAUUAGCAGUUAUUAAGUAUAAGUAAAUACCAACCCAAUUAAGUAGUAGAACAAAAGUAACAACCUCAUCUGCGAUGCAGUGCAUAUGACAAAUUGAGUUUAAGUUCCAUAAUUUAAUCAUGUGAGUGUCCGAGCUGCUCAUGACCGUGAGCACGGCUAGUAUACCAGUUUUACACUCUGCAGAGGUUGCGCAUCUUUACCCUGCUCAUGACCGUGAGCACGGCUAGUAUACCAGUUUUAUACUCUGCAGAGGUUGCGCAUCUUUACCCACAAGUCAUGUUACCCAUCUGCCAAGAGACGGCCAAUCCCAUACACCUCUACCAAGGAGGCGAGGCAGGGUAACACUACGAGGCCUUUACAAAGUUCCACUAGCUUCAGAAAACCCACUACAGUUUAUAGGAAGCUCCAAUGCAGGAAUCCCUCGCAUGACCGCCAUCGCAGCAAAAUCAUCCCAAGGGCCUCCCUACACUGACCACUCCCCUACUGCCCUUGCCCCUUUCGGGUAAGGUAGUCAUCCACUAGCUUUCCUAAUUAAUCAGCCAAGGGCGUCCAUAAACCCUUGUGGUAGCACUGUUUUCCCGGGUGGUUCUCCAUGUUCCCAUUAACAUAAUGAUCUUAUCAUGAACAGUAAAUAAUAAACAGAUAAUAAAAAGUGUAAUCAUGAAUAGUGUAUCUCCAUACCCAAAACCACAUAAAGCAAUAACAUGUACUACCCAAAAAUUCAGUGGUAAACAAGGUAUAAAGAUAGUCAAAUCUAGGGUAACCUAUUGGGUCCCAUCAAAAUUAACCUAUGCAGAUCAUUAUGAUUAAUAAGAACAUGACUGGGUAAAAAGGAAGUGAUCAAGGGCACAACUUGCCUGGGACUUGAGAUUCCAGGUACCAGGAUGAUCUUCAGGUUCUCGUGACCUCACUGCUAAACGUAGCAAUACAUACAAACUUAGUAUAGACAAAAUUAACAUCACACCAACCAUAAGUACAAACUGAAUAAUAAUGAUCUACGCGAUGCUACGAGAUCGUAGAAACAAGAACCACUAAAUUCGGAGCUAUGGUUAUUAAGUUAGGAAUUUCUGAAGUUAUUUAAUACCUAGAAUAGAGUUAUUCAUGUGAAUAAUUUUAAAUCAAGUUUCAUGGUUAGACAAAUGUACUAGGUAAUAAACAAUACUUAAACAAAAUUAAUCCCACUGGAAUGAAUCAAUUUGGAGCUAAAUUCAUCAAGUUAUGAAUUUUCUAAGCUUAUCAUAUUUAUUUUUAUCCUGAAAAUCAUUUUAGAUUUGUAUUUCCUGAAAUUCCAAGACUCUGGACGGCGACCACUAUUUUCAAAAACUCGGGGGCUAACACGUGAAAUCACCCAGACACAGAGAACUCCACACAGGAUGGCGGGUUGAUUCCCCAUAACCCAAGGGGCUCUUAAGCAAAAAGCCAACGGCGAAGAGGUAAGGAACAACCAGAGCCGUUGGAUUAAAAGGAUACGGUCCAGAUUAGAUUUUUACAACUCUGAACCGGCACGCAGCCCUGGCCCUCGGAUUUGGAUCUAACGAUGUAAAUUUUAAGUACCAAGAUCUAAUCGUAGCCACUGGAUCCGAGAUCUACGGUUCUAAUUCCGCUGGGUGAAGGGGUACACUGGAUCAGAUCGGGACCGUAAGCCAGCGAUCCUACGGCUACAGACGUCGCGCGACCAAAUCCAAUCUAGGCCGCCCAAGACCCAUCAGACGGUCCGUACCCUUCUUCCCCCCUACGCCCUCCUAUUUCCUUUUCUCUCUCUCUCCAUGGCUGACCGGUGGCGCGUGAGCACGACCGUGGCGGAGGCCAUGGCCAGCGGCUCCCAACACGGCCCCAAGGCUCCCCCCGAGGGCAUAUAAGCCCUAAACCUAUGCUCCCGCACACCUGCUUCAUAUCCGCCCCUGCGCGAUGCAGUCUGCUGUCCAAGUACCCGGCCGCGGCGAGUGAGAGCUUCGUGGCACGCUAUAACUUCGGUGAGCGAUUCCUGACGAACCGCACACCCAAGCUGAGCUAAAUUUGGCGUCUCAUGAUCAGAGGAAUAAGGCAAGCGCGAUAGAGGAAUCCUUACCGGAUUUCGAGGUGGCGGCUCCGCGGCUACAGAGCAGCACCGGUGAGAAAUUCCCAUUCGCCCAUGACGCCCUGAGCUCUGAUUCGACUUCGAUUACCAUCCCCACAUGCUGACGAAUCGAUCAAGACACAUCCGAGGACCCCGGGCGACCCCCAGCUAUGAGGCAUCGAUGGCGGCCAUCUCCUGCUUCUCUCUGCGCUCCCGGAUCUCCCUCUCCGACCUUUCCUCUCUCCCGUGGCGGUGGAUGCCCGUUUUGGUGACAAGAGCU
rnacentral:lncRNA from 1 species